AAACGAACUGACUCACCAGCAGCUGGGGGAGGGGAGGGAGCAGGGAGCCCCCAUGCUGUGACUAACGUCGCUGCUGGCCCCUCAACAUCAUCAGUUGACUUUCUCCACUCACUCCCUUCCUGAUUCUGUCCAGAUCACAUUUGUUCUGAAGGACUUGAGUCACCUCACCACAUCCCUUUUGUGACCACAGUGAAGUCUUCAUAAAGGGACAGCUGGCCCAAAGGAGGGGAGAUCCUACAGAUAAAAUGAAGAGGAAACUUCUUUGACGGUUCCACGGUGCCGGCCCUGCCCCAUGGGACUGGCUGUGGCUGGAAUGCAGUAUCCAAUUACCACGUGGUCUCAACCCCCGUGUGGGUGGCUGUGUGGUGAGAACCACAGGCAGACGACAGCUGUCCUUCUGUGCAGAGUGGCUCCCCAACCAGACUCUGCGGGGUGUUACAGUGUUCCCUGAGGGAGGUCGCUUCUGAGUGCUGGGGCCACAGACUAAACAGACAAUUAAAACUCAUCUGAGUUUUGGCAGUUUCUCCAAAAGCAUUUCUACUCCUGCUUUUUUGUUUUUUGGUGUAUGCUUUUCAACUUCAAGGAACACACUUUCCUCUGCAAAGGAAUUAUACUGAAUCGCCUAGCCAUUGCACGCAGGCCUCCCCUCUCCUGAAGAUGAACUUGGCAACUGCUUCACCAUGACAUCCUGCACAUCCAGAGAGAUGGCCCUUUUCUUCUUCUUGUGCUACACAGCCUCGCUCUCCUGUAUGAAGGGACGAUGCAGUGUUCACUUCCACCAGACUAGCUCCACUCGAGCCACAGGCUCUCCUCACAUUUCUGCUUGUUUGGGUAACUCGUUGUGGAUGGGCCCCCAGGGGCAGCUUCUAUUCUAAACCUGUGUCGUCCUGGAGGCCAGAGUCAGCACAGCCAGCCUGCCUCCAAAAGUACGAGUCCAAGGCCAAAAGUAUUGAAUCCUUCUGAAAGCAUCACUUCAUCAGGUUUGCACUGGACGGAGGAACCGGCCUUGGAAGACCUGCCAUAUCUGCAGCCCCCUUUAAGGACCGGUGCUAUUCCGGUGGAGCUGUGGCACAUGGGCCAGAGCUGAUUGGAUCAAGUGACACCCGACCCGAGGGCUGCCCUUCUGUAGGUCAGCCAGCAUCCUAUGAGGUAGCCCGGCCCAGGAGCCAGUGCUGCCUGAACCAAUCAAAUUCUUCUGCUUAGGGAGUUUGGAUGCAACAUAGAGGGGCAGCCAAGUGGUUGUUAGUGAGAGAAGCAGAAUGAUAAAGAAAAGCAAGGACGGAGAGAUGAUCAGUCUGUGGCGGCAGAGGGAAGUAGGGUCAAUGCACAGCUCCUGGAGAGAAGCUGCAGAUCCAGGGCAAUGUAAAACCCAGAGGCCCCAUCACGGUGCCCCCCACAUCCCCAGUACCUACCUCACCACGCUGGGUUCCUGAUAAAGCUCGUUAAAUGGGCCCGGUGUGCAUUCUCGAAACGCCUCCUUGCCCUGAACCACCUGCCAUGUGUUUUCAUACAGGUGAGUUAGGUGUGCCGCUCAGUGGGGGCUCUGGCACCCUUCCUAGAGUUACAAUCUGUGAAACUGAGGCCCUGCGGGAAGGGUGGAUUGAUGCACAUUUCCAGAUUUGAGGCUGGGAGGAGCCACCACUGCGAGACUUUCCUCCCCAAUCAUGUCCUUCUCAGAGCUUCAGUGAGGACAGUUGUCCCUGCAGUGCCCCGGCAAGAGAAAUCCCAGACCUCUCUGUCUUUGAGUGGUAAGGACCACUCGCAAGCACCCACUAUUUCGUUGGGUCCCAUGAGUCCCCUCCCCUCAACGUCGUACUCUGCUCUGGCCGGGCCAUACAGUUCGAGGGGAGUGAAACUGGAGAAGAAUGUGUGGAAGUUUGUGGCUUUCAUCUCUUAAACAAAUAGCAAAUUCCUCUGGGCUGCGGCUGCUGGAAUUGAACAAUGAUGUGUUCCGGGAGGCGCUAAGGCGUUACCUUGGCAACACCCAGGCUGUUUUCAGCCUGCCUUUCAGCUGAGUUUCCUCCCGGCUCCCCCAAGCGCGUCCCACGUCUGUGAAAUCGUCUACUAGAAUACUAAUUGGAGGCUAAGAACAGGCAGCGUGCUACGUGGGGGAUGGGUUAGAAAGCGAAAGGCGUCACCACUGUGACCACCUAAUCAGGAAGCGAUGUGCGUGAAGCCUGCCAGGUUGGCUUUUGAAAUCGUGAAGGUCACGGGAGUUACUUCAAACAUGACCCAGAUGCUUGCACCUUAGGCAGUCGGCGGCGUGUACCGUGGCAGUCCAUCAGACCCUUGCCCCUCACAGUGUGGUCCGGGGGCCAGCCACAGAGCAUCACCUGGGAGCUUGAGGAGAUGCAGACGAUCAGGUUGCCCCAGGCCUACCGACCAGGUCUGUGUUUUGACAAGACCCCCAGGUGACUCACAGCACCUACCUUUGUCACGUCAAGGUGGAUUCCUAAAAUAAGGUGGCAGUCCAGUACAAAAGCAGGCAUACCUGGUUUGCUGACAACGCAUUUUGGUGUGUUUGUUUUUUAACAUUGAUUCUUUGUGGUGAUGAUGACAAUGAUGGUGCUGAUGAUGAAGAUGACAUCAGGUACUGUUAUGAGUUGACUUGUGUCCCCACAAAAGGAUAUGUUCAAGUCCUACUAACCCUUGGUACCUGCGAAUGUAACCUAAUUUGGAUAUGAGGUCUUUGCAGAUGCAAGUUAAGUCGAGGUCAUCAGGGUGGACCCUAAUCCAAUGACUGGUGUCCUUAUAAAGGAGAGGGAAAUUUGGAUACAGACACCCAGAGAGAAUAGCAUGUGAUGACACAGGCAGAGAUUGGAAUGACCCUGUCACAAGCCAAGGAACGCCAAGGACUGCGCCAAGGACAUCAGCCAGAAACUAGGAGAGAAGCCUGGAUCAGAUUCUCCUGCUGAGAACGUAAGAAGGAACCAACAAGUUGAUACCUCCGUUUUGGACCUCCUGCCUCCAGAACUGUCAGAAUAUAAAUUUCUGUGGUUUCAAGCCA
rnacentral:lncRNA from 1 species